rnacentral:rRNA from 1 species
GACGAACGCUGGCGGCGCGCCUAACACAUGCAAGUCGAACGAGCGAGAGAGAGCUUGCUUUCUUGAGCGAGUGGCGAACGGGUGAGUAACGCGUGAGGAACCUGCCUCAAAGAGGGGGACAACAGUUGGAAACGACUGCUAAUACCGCAUAAGCCCACGGUGCCGCAUGGCACAGAGGGAAAAGGAGCAAUCCGCUUUGAGAUGGCCCCGCGUCCGAUUAGCUAGUUGGUGAGGUAACGGCCCACCAAGGCGACGAUCGGUAGCCGGACUGAGAGGUUGAACGGCCACAUUGGGACUGAGACACGGCCCAGACUCCUACGGGAGGCAGCAGUGGGGAAUAUUGCACAAUGGGGGAAACCCUGAUGCAGCGACGCCGCGUGGAGGAAGAAGGUCUUCGGAUUGUAAACUCCUGUUGUUGGGGAAGAUAAUGACGGUACCCAACAAGGAAGCGACGGCUAACUACGUG